UCACCCCUCAUCCUCUUCCCCAAGCUGCCGUGGAUUACUUCUCCUCUCUCUCCCUCUCACUUCAUGCGAGACUCUCUCCAUUUCUCACGCCACAGCCCAGCAAAGAACGAGCUGCUAGGCGUCUCCUCUUCCUGCGUGCAGCACCGAAAGAAGACUUCAUCACUUCUGCAUCCACGCGUCAUCUUCGGUCAACAGCGGCAGCAACCGAAGCUGCUUGGUUGACCGCAAAAGCCCCACAUCCGUGCAAAGAUCCGUCGCCAGCAACACUUGCAAGUUGCCAGGCGUCUUCCACUUCUUCGGUCAAACUUUCCUUCAAUUUUUCUGCCGUUGAAACCCACCGAAAUCCCACCAUCGUUCCUCUCUCUUCAACCACGCGCCCACGAUCCAGUCAACGGCGCCCUCUCCUCCACCGUUUGUUGACCUCUGAAGCAGCGCCCAUCUCCACUACUUCGUGUCUCCUCCAGCAACAUUGAAGACUUACCGAAGCUGCUCCUCACGUCCGCGUCUUCAAUCUUCUCCAGCCCGUCGACCCAGCGAAGCCACGAAGUCUUGGACUGCCGAAACAUUGAAGAAACUCCAGUGCACGAAGAC
rnacentral:lncRNA from 1 species